rnacentral:rRNA from 1 species
GGCGAACGCUGGCGGCGUGCUUAACACAUGCAAGUCGAGCGGUAAGGCCCUUUCGGGGGUACACGAGCGGCGAACGGGUGAGUAACACGUGGGUGACCUGCCCUCGGCUCUGGGAUAAGCCUGGGAAACCGGGUCUAAUACUGGAUAUGACUCCAUGACGCAUGUUGUGGGGUGGAAAGCCUUGUGCGGCUGAGGAUGGGCCCGCGGCCUAUCAGCUUGUUGGUGGGGUGAUGGCCUACCAAGGCGACGACGGGUAGCCGGCCUGAGAGGGCGACCGGCCACACUGGGACUGAGACACGGCCCAGACUCCUACGGGAGGCAGCAGUGGGGAAUCUUGCGCAAUGGGCGAAAGCCUGACGCAGCGACGCCGCGUGAGGGAUGACGGCCU